CCACCCCUUUCUCCUCUGUGGCAGGCUGAUCUCUUCUCUCCUUCAGUGCCUCAGUUUCCUGUCCUGGGCAGUGAGGAAAGCACAGAGCUGGUCCAGCACUGUGUGAACACUCCACACACAGCAACACUCCUCAGGGGAACAAUGUGUUUCAGUGUUUAUCUGGGCAUUCCCCUCACUGCAGGAAGUGCCUGUGGGACCAGCUGGGAACACAGACCUGACAUCUAGGGUGAGAGCAAUUAACCCUGCACCCAUGAUGGAGCCACCCCUUAAAUGCCAGCUCCUCUUAGUUGAAGGCUUGGUGGCUGUCUCAAACAAUGACACGUGGACGGCUGUGACACCAGCGCAGCCAUUUUCUUCUCAAUAUGCUC
rnacentral:lncRNA from 12 species